GGGCUGGAAGCUUCAGCCAGUUCUUGUUGCCUCAUUUUAUUUCCUCUAAUCACUUGCUUUAGCUGCCGCUUGGGUAUUGUGUGGGGAGGAGGUGGUUGUUUGGCGUUUUCGGAUUUUGCACUUCUUGCUGUUCCCAACGUGUAGAGCGAGGUGUGCUGUCCAAACCGGGGCCGGUCCUUGGCAAAGUAACUCCGACUCUGAAGUGGGAGGGAGGAAGAAAAAUUUACAGGAACAAACAUCAGAAAGUAGCAUGUCUGUUGGAUGCUGGUAACUCGGUCACUGCUCAGGAAGCUCUCCUGCAGCCGGCCAGCUUGUUUCUAGUGUGUACAGGCACCCAAAAGCCAAAGUCAGGGGAAGCUGGAGGUGCCCAAUGCCAGUGGCCUCAUUUCAAGACCAGCACCUCAAAUCCAAAUGAAGUUAACAGAAGCUUGAGGUGCUCAGUGACUCACCUGAAGGUAGAUAUUAAAAAUUAAGCAUGUUAUUGUUGGAGGGUUUUGGAAAUUAUAGCCUAAGUGACAGUGUCAGAGCAUAAAGCUGAGAAGUUCCUGUUCUCAUAGAUGAGUCCCCCCUGAGCAACUUGUUAUCAAUAACUAACCUAUAUGCACAAUGUAACACGUAUAGGUCUCUAUAGGAAACCACUAACACAGAUCAUAAGCUUAAUAGAAUCUGUGUAUAACCAAUGUUUGAAUAACACUAAUAACUCUGUACAAGGAAACCAAGGGAGCAGCUCAGAGUGGGUGGGAAGCAGUAGCCAGCAGGCUGGAUAGGAGGAAAGGAGAAAUAAUAAGGCACCUCGCUCCCAGGAAGGGCCAGCAGGUGUAUUUAUAGAGGUCACACACCUUCUGGUCAAUUAGGUCUAAACCCAGAGGAACCACUGGUAAAAUAUCCAUUGCUGCUGGCUUUGGUAAAAGCCAAUUAGAGAUGCAUU
rnacentral:lncRNA from 1 species